GUUUUUAAUAUUACAAAUUUUAAUGUCUACCUUGUUCAAAGUCUCUCCAAAUUCUACGAAGGGACCAUAACUCCUUCGUGCCCAUCAGUCUUGAGAAAGUAAACUACGCUACCUAAGAGAUCAGAGCGGUGGAAGUUGGAGGGAGGGAGUGCGAUCGAAGACCUAAUCAUCUCAGAUUAGAGGAAACUAUUGCACAUAGACUGUCAAGAAAUGUCAAAGCCGAUGGUUGGGAACGAUCGGAUUUCCCCCUCAUAUGCGAGUCGUGCCUCGGUGACAAUCCUUAUGUUCAUAUGAGUGAAUGACCUCGUUGCAAUGAAGCUAUUAAACAAGGCAGGUGAAAUGCCCUCUCUGUAAGCCCCGGAGGAUGAGAGCAUCAAAACCCUGUAUGUGGGUCGGGUGGACCAAAGAGUAACCGAGCAAGACUUAAGGGACCAACUUCUACGCCCAAGGUGAAAGUGAGUCUUGUACGAAUGGUGCUUCAACGCGCUUGUGCUUUCAUAACCUACACGACAGGAGAAGGCACAGAGAAAGCUGUAAAAGAGCUAUCAAACAGGCUAGUCACAAGGGGCCUGAGGCUGAAGCUGAUGUGGGGUUGACCACGAGCGCCCAAGCCAGAGGGUGAAGGCUCAGAUGGCGGAGCGAAACAGGUUUUGUUAAUGGCUCACAGCGGGUUGUUGCCUAGGGCUGUCAUUUCCCAACAGCAGAACCAAUUACUGCCACCUGGCACUCAGGAACAACCACCCCCACCUCAUAUGCAUUAGUUCAACAUUCCCCAGCCACCUCAGCUGGACAGGGCAUUUUAUCCGUUAAUGGAUUCUCAGAGGAUGGGUGCCCUCCUUCGGUCUCAAGAGGGGGAUCCCCACGGUCCCAUAGGGUCGGUGGAUACUAAGGGGGUUUGGGAGAAGCAGCAAAUAGUGCAGCAGCAUAAUCGUUAUCAAGGUUUUCCGCCGACGACUCGAGGUCAAUUUCAACAGCCAUUUUAUCCACUGCAUGAGGUAUAUGCCGACUCCUAAGCCUUAUCAGCUGUACCUAUGCCUUAUCAGUCUACCAUGCCGCUGCACUUGCGCCUCGCCCUCCAGUAGCCCGGCAGUAUCCAACAGGGUCAUCACCACAGAGGUGAUGCAAUGGAUAAAGUAAGCUGGAAAAUUUCUUUGCAUCUAUGUCUAUGUUACCAUCCUGCAGCUUGUUUCUGAUUACUGUUUUCAAACUCUUAGUAUUAAGGAAUGUUCUGCUGUGUUUUGUCCAAGUAAAUAGUAGAUUUUGCAAUUUCGUUUUGUCA